AAGAAUAGCAGAAAUUAUCAACUGCCCCAACACCCCCUCCCCCAUCCCUCCCGACUCCGCCGCUCCCCAACACUCCGCCGCCGCGCCAACACUUCCGUCUCUUAAUUACACCACCCAAUCACGCCGCUCAGUUGCGCUGCCAUGCUCCAAUCGCACCGUCGUCGCCAUGCCCCAAUAUCUUCGCACCAUUUCUUUUUCAAUUUUGUGGACAGCGAGGGCGGGGGUCGAUGAGGGCUCUGGUGGUGGAAUAUCGCUAAUCUCCUUCCAACGAUUGUUACCUGGUCGCAAUUCAGCUCCCAAUGAUGGAGAAGACGAAUCCACAGCAUGUGUUUACUUUGGCGAGGUAUGAAAAAUAAAGAUUUGAACUUUGAUUUCGAAAGGAAAAAGUUAGAAAAAUUCACUGACUGGUGCACUUUAGGGAGAUUUGACACGAAAUCUGGUUCGUCCAGUGAAGAACUCCUCUUCGGGGAGAAAAUCGAUUUUGGAGUGAAAUAAGCAAAUACCGAUUUUGGAGUUAUUUGAGGGAGAAAAUUGGAAACACAAAACAUAAUCUCUAUUACUGUUCAAAGUGAUAUUAUUCAUCACGGGGGGUGCGGCGGAUGAAUAAUCUCAAGGCUACAGUGUUUUUGGUGCGGGCUUCACCUUUUUUACGGGCCUGGAAGAUUAUUGAAAUAGUCUAUCAAACAGACAAAAAUGGUGAGAAAUAUUAUCUAUCUCACCUAAUAAUCCCUAUCAAACACACCCUAAAACAACACCAUUUAGCCGUUGAAACGACGUCACUUCACCACUGAAAAACUAUAAGUGUAUGUUUACGUAUAAGGGCAAUUUAAUGAAUGAG
rnacentral:lncRNA from 1 species